AUUGAACGCUGGCGGCAUGCCUUACACAUGCAAGUCGAACGGCAGCACGGGGGCAACCCUGGUGGCGAGUGGCGAACGGGUGAGUAAUACAUCGGAACGUGUCCUGUAGUGGGGGAUAGCCCGGCGAAAGCCGGAUUAAUACCGCAUACGCUCUACGGAGGAAAGGGGGGGAUCUUAGGACCUCCCGCUAGAGGGGCGGCCGAUGGCAGAUUAGCUAGUUGGUGGGGUAAAGGCCUACCAAGGCGACGAUCUGUAGCUGGUCUGAGAGGACGACCAG
rnacentral:rRNA from 1 species